CUGGAGUGGGCCACUGACCUGAUCCAUGCAAAGUCCUUUAUUUCCUUCCUGUCUCUCUUGAGUUUGUUGAAUGCUGUGUUUUAAAGUUCCAAUCUUGAUUGGACUGUGAUGACAGAAUUAAGGAAAGAAGACGCAUAUGAAAUCCUCCUGGGAGGAAGGUGAAUGACUGCAGACCAGAGCUCAGAACUUCAGACCCAUCUUCACACCCUACAGGUAGAGCUCUUCUUUCUUUACUCACGUUGAGAAAUCUGGGUUUACUUUUAAUGUACCAACUUUAGAUGUUUCUAUUUAAAGAAAAAAUACUUAGUAUGAUUACAGAGGAAAAAGUGACUACUUCCAACUGGAAAGUCAAGUAAGGAAGGCUUCUCAACAGAUUCCAUGUCUGAGCUCAGACUUGAAGCUGUGAACACAUGAGACAGUGCAGUCUGAGGCAGCAGCAGCAGCAAAGGCGCAGGGGUAAGCAGGAGACAACUGAGGAAUACCUCCUAUUCCACUGAGGCUGACUCUUGCGCUUCUAGGCUGGAUAUACUGGAAUAGCUGGACCAGUUUGAAACUAUUCCCAACUCACAACCCACUCACAGUCAAAACACAGUUGUCUAUGAAGAGCCUGUAGCCAUGGCCCCAGCGGCUCUCCUUUUUCCUCCAUUCUGACACGGCUUAUGCUGCUCUCCCUUUCCUCACGAACAUACGUGGGUCCUGACCCUCUGCUUAGGUCCUUGCAACCCAUGCUUCAGUGAAGCAGGCUGCCUACAUUCUGCUGGGGUGGGGGUGGGGGGGCGGCCACCUUGUUUGCCAUCUUUUUCUUGGUUCCAGCGCCCAAAUCUAGCUGAAAGCUGGCCCCCGGGGGGGCAAAGCCAAGUCUACUGCCUCAGAACUUUCUUAUUCAGAAUAAGAAUUCAGACACUCCUAAGAGUCAACUUUCGCGGAUAUACGGUUUUUAUUCUUUUUCCCUUUGUGAAGGAAAUAGAAUCAAUAGUCAUUAGCUGUCUUGUGUACAUGAUUUUCACGGAAAUUUCCA
ensembl:lncRNA